rnacentral:rRNA from 1 species
UACAGAGGGCUCAAGCGUUGUUCGGAUUCAUUGGGCGUAAAGGGUGUGUAGGUGGCGCCGUAAGUCGGGUGUGAAAUUUCGGAGCUUAACUCCGAAACUGCAUUCGAUACUGCGGUGCUUGAGGACUGGAGAGGAGACUGGAAUUCAUGGUGUAGCAGUGAAAUGCGUAGAGAUCAUGAGGAAGACCGGUGGCGAAGGCGGGUCUCUGGGCCGAUACUGACGCUGAGGAGCGAAAGCGUGGGGAGCAAACAGG